UACGUAGGGAUCAAGCGUUGUUCGGAUUUAUUGGGCGUAAAGGGUGCGUGGGCGGCGCGGUAAGUCAGUUGUGAAAUCUCUGAGCUUAACUCAGAACGGGCAAGUGAUACUGCAGUGCUAGAGUGUGGAAGGGGCAAUCGGAAUUCUUGGUGUAGCGGUGAAAUGCGUAGAUAUCAAGAGGAACACCUGAGGUGAAGACGGGUUGCUGGGCCAACACUGACGCUGAGGCGCGAAAGCCAGGGGAGCAAACGGG
rnacentral:rRNA from 1 species